rnacentral:rRNA from 1 species
UACGAAGGGGGCUAGCGUUGCUCGGAAUUACUGGGCGUAAAGCGCACGUAGGCGGUCUUUUAAGUCGGGGGUGAAAUCCUGGAGCUCAACUCCAGAACUGCCUUCGAUACUGGAAGACUCGAGUCCGGGAGAGGUGAGUGGAACUGCGAAGUGUAGAGGUGAAAUUCGUAGAUAUUCGCAAGAACACCAGUGGCGAAGGCGGCUCACUGGCCCGGUACUGACGCUGAGGUGCGAAAGCGUGGGGAGCAAACAGGG